ACAUGUUUGUCCGCGGCUAAUGUGGCUCUGACGACGGAUUGUUGGACAGCACUGACUACAGAAAGCUACAUCACGAUUACUUGCCACUAUAUUGAAAACGACUGGCAGGUAAAGUCGGCAGUCCUUCUUACGGAGAGCUUAUCCGAGAGACAUACAGCUGAUAAUUUAGCUGCCAAACUGAACCAGGCUGUGGAGUCAUGGGGACUCACCGGCCGUGUAGUAGCCUGUGUGCACGACAACGCUCGGAACAUUGUUUCAGCAAACAACCCCGCACGAGUCAGUUGGAAGUCAGUGUGUUGCUUUGCUCAUACUUUAAAUCUGGCCGUCAAUGACGGAUUCGCUGCUGCUGGUGUCAACCGAGUAAUUGGAGCUGCUGGCAGGCUGGUCAAGCACUUCAAUCACAGCACACCAGCAACGAAAGCGCUAGAAGCAAAACAAAGACAAAUGCAGCUACCAGCUCAUCGGCUCAUUCAGUCCUGUAAGACCAGGUGGAACUCUGUACAUGCGAUGUUUGGCAGACUCGUAGAACAGCGAUGGGCCGUGUGUGCUGUGCUAUCAGACCGCUCAGAGACCAAGCUUUCAGAUGCGAGGACGCUGGAGUUGAGAGACGACUUCUGGCAGCUUAUGGAGGACAUAGCGCCAGCACUAGAGGCUCUCCAAUGUGCUACUACUGUAAUGUCAGCAGAGGCGGAGGUAUCCAUAUCCAACACGUACCCCAUCACAUUUAGUCUGAUUAACACGCAUCUCAAGAUGGCAAAUGGAGACAGCAACAGAGUGGCGGAAUUCAAAUCUAAAGUGCGCACUUCGUUGGGGGAACGGAUGAAGGUUGAGUCUGAAGACCUCACAUCAACAACACCAAUGAUAGCAACGAUGCUGGACCCACGGCAUAAGCACCUGGGAUUUCUAAGCCCAGCAAGCAGGAUCUCAGCUAAUACCAAACUGCUUGAACUGGCUAUGGAAGAACAUGUGGACUCCACAUCAACAAAUGAAGCCACCACUGGAGAUGAUGUGCCAGUCCAGGGAGCUACACUUCAGAGACACACUUCUGCUAUGACUCUUCUACUGGGUGAAAACUAUACCACCAGCAGCAACGAUGACAUUAAAGAGGAAGUGGACAUGUUUCUGAAGGAUGCCUCACCACUCCUUGAUUCCAGUCCCACAGAAUGGUGGAAAGUCAAUGAAGGAAGAUUUCCGAGGCUGGCAAAUGUGGCACGACGAUAUCUGUGCAUACCGGGCACGUCUGUCCCAUCAGAACGUGUAUUCUCAGCAGCUGGCCUGACUGUAAACAGGCUGCGCACACAACUUACUCCUGACCACGUUAAUAUGCUUAUUUUCUUGAACAAAAAUAGAGGGGUCUAGGUCAGGAGCCUAUUCAAAACACAUUGAGACAGGAAUGUUUUUGUUUCAGGAGAGGUAGCCUAUAUCUUCAUUUGACUGUUCUAAGGGUCGCCCUCUAAUGUUACUGUCACCUUCCUCAGGGAUGAUUUAAGUUGUGUUCAGAAUAUAUUUGAAGUUUCCAGGGCUAGUUAUCUUACUGUUACCUUUCUCAGACCAAAGGGGAUUAUAAAUGCUGCUAAUGUUUCAAGUUUUACAUAUGUAGUUAACCAGAUUAUAAUGUGUAGGCUUAAUAUUGUGUAGGCUAGGCCUACCCAUAUUGUUUAGAUUUCUAUUUAAAAUUAAUUUUAUUUUGCUUAAUGUUUCACAUGCGACAGGUGAGCCAGUGCACAAUUAUUUUGUUAUGUAUUUUAAUUUUCUGUGCUUAAUGUAUUUUGUUAAACUACAUAAAUGCCAUUAUCUGCACAUUAUCCUAACUGGUACAAUAAAACAUCAAUUGUGCAAUAUA